ANCUGAUGCAGCGAUGCCGCGUGAGUGAAGAGGCCUUCGGGUUGAACCUCUUUCACUUGGGAAAAAACGGACGGGAAGAAUACACCCGAACCACGGUCGGUCCCUUGAGAAGAACCCCCGGCAGAAUUAAUGCCAGCAGCCGCGGUAAA
rnacentral:rRNA from 1 species